rnacentral:rRNA from 1 species
CCUACGGGUGGCUGCAGUGGGGAAUAUUGGACAAUGGGGGGAACCCUGAUCCAGCCAUGCCGCGUGUGUGAAGAAGGCCCUCGUGUUGUAAAGCACUUUCAGUGAGGAAGAACGCCUGGUGGUUAAUACCCAUCAGGAAAGACAUCACUCACAGAAGAAGCACCGGCUAACUCCGUGCCAGCAGCCGCGGUAAUACGGAGGGUGCGAGCGUUAAUCGGAAUUACUGGGCGUAAAGCGCGCGUAGGUGGCUUGAUAAGCCGGUUGUGAAAGCCCCGGGCUCAACCUGGGAACGGCAUCCGGAACUGUCAAGCUAGAGUGCAGGAGAGGAAGGUAGAAUUCCCGGUGUAGCGGUGAAAUGCGUAGAGAUCGGGAGGAAUACCAGUGGCGAAGGCGGCCUUCUGGACUGACACUGACACUGAGGUGCGAAAGCGUGGGUAGCAAACAGGAUUAGAUACCCCAGUAGUC